GACGAACGCUGGCGGCGUGCUUAACACAUGCAAGUCGAACGGAAAGGCCCUGCUUUUGUGGGGUGCUCGAGUGGCGAACGGGUGAGUAACACGUGAGUAACCUGCCCUUGACUUUGGGAUAACUUCAGGAAACUGGGGCUAAUACCGGAUAGGAGCUCCUGCUGCAUGGUGGGGGUUGGAAAGUUUCGGCGGUUGGGGAUGGACUCGCGGCUUAUCAGCUUGUUGGUGGGGUAGUGGCUUACCAAGGCUUUGGCGGGUAGCCGGCCUGAGAGGGUGACCGGCCACAUUGGGACUGAGAUACGGCCCAGAGUCCUACGGGAGGCAGCAGUGGGGAAUAUUGCACAAUGGGCGGAAGCCUGAUGCAGCAACGCCGCGUGCGGGAUGACGGCCUUCGGGUUGUAAACCGCUUUCGCCUGUGACGAAGCGUGAGUGACGGUAAUGGGUAAAGAAGCACCGGCUAACUACGUG
rnacentral:rRNA from 1 species